ensembl:lncRNA
GGCAGAAAGGCACAAACAACUGGGUCCUUGUUGACACAGAGCCGUUGAACCAAUCAAUCCUGAAGUGCACUCUACCUUCUUGCUGUGAGCGACAGCACGCCUCCUGGUUAUUUGCCCUGGGUUUUCUCUUAGAGCCCAGAGCAUCAUAACAGAUUGUUUCUCCAGCUCAGCAGAACUAUGCUCAGCAGAACAUCUCAGCAGGGAUCUGUAGAGGAUGCAUCAGAAGGCUCGGUAAUCCACCGCCAUCUUCUCUUUUACCUUAAAUACUCUCAAAACAUCUUCCUAGCCCAUCAUGGCACUCAAGAGACCUGCUUUCUCAAAGGUUAGAAGUCAAGAACCUCCCCCCAAGAUGGCCUCGGGUCCAAGUGUUUAUGACGUCUGUGAGUGACAAGGACUUGCAAAUCUCUCAGAAGCUGUCCGAUAUAUGGAAACCUGAAGUUUACCUGGAUGACCAAAUGACUUCAUUUUAUUCUCCCUAGUUGGCAUCAGUGCCUUAGAAUAGAAUCUGGCAUCAUGCUUUGCCUAAAAAGAAAGAGCUGACAGGGCUCACAACUGGCAAUGCAUCAGUUCCACCUCAAGGACAUCAACGGGGAGAAGUUAAUGAAACGGAACAGUUCUCAUAUUAACCAGUUAGCUAUUCAGGUUAGGACAGAUGUGGAAAAUCAGCCCAUACGAGACAAAUUCAUUAAAGUGAAAUUACCCGUUCAACACCUUGAUAUCUGAGCAGACUGAUGUUUCAAAAUUAUUAUAAUUAUGAUCAUGGGGAUAAAGAGAGCCAAACUUUCAAAAGAAGACUUGAAAAAAUAAAAAUAAAAAUUCUAGUACUACCCUGCAAGAUGAAAAUAAUGAGCUGGUCACAGAUCCCCAGGAUACCAGCAAUUGCUCUAAAUCCUUCUUGAUGAGGAAUCUGUGACUCUGAACUGAACAUUAAUUCAAAUGCAAAUAAUCUCUCUCCCCCCUGAGGAUCAUUAUUCCUGAUUCGGCAGGCAGUUUAAUGGGAAAUCUGCAGGUGCACUGCAGACUGAACCUCAGAAGUGGUUUCAGCUCCAGACGAAAGCUUCCACUCCUAAAGACAUGGAAUCUGAGGGCCAGAGACUUGAAUUCCCUCACUGCCCUGAAGUCAUCUCCCCCAGGAAACCCUAUGAGACAUGGGAUGUGAAUGUGGCCUGGAAAUCAUCGUAAAGCUCUUCAGCUUCUCUCAAGCACACAUCCCAACCUUCAGAAGCUGUUAAUCACCUUAGCUCUUUACAUGGAGGUUCUUAAACAUAAGCUGCAGAAGACACUCAAUCCUCCCUACUGUCACCUCUAGGGAGCCCACAGAGGAGAAAAAGUUGGAAGCCUCUCAACUUGGAUGGCUUGGGUUUGAAUGCAUGAUGCUAGGAAAAUGAUAUGGCCAUCUGUGCUUCAAUUUCCCCAUCAGCAAAAUGAGGACAGUAAUGUGUCUACCUUGGACCAUAACGGCAUUUCAAAUUUUUCCUGGGCAACCUAGCAAAGUGGUUACAGAGUGUGGACUCUGAAAAUAGACUUACCUGGGGUUUCGAUCUGAGCUCUACCACUUGCUGACUACUCAGCCUGAGCAAAUUAACCAACCUUUGGCUUUAGAAUCUCUUCUUGUCCAUAGGAUAUGCCAGGCACUCAAGAAAUCAGGCUGAGAGAAGCAGAGAUCCCUUGGGACCUCACAGGCUUAUGGAGGAGAUGCUCCAGUAAUUGCAAUAUGGCAGAAGACUCAAGAUGACAAAGAUAGGCACAGGUUGCUAUGCAAGAACAAAAGAGGGGCCCUGCCUGAGACAGGAGCUCAGGAGGCUCCAUCUGAGCAUGUGACAACAGAGCAGGACUUUGGAUAUGAAGAAAAGAGAUUAACCAGGGCAAGAAGGUAGAGAGGGAAGGCGCAGAGGAGAGCAGAUGCAAAGCAUGGCUCAAGCAUCCACAAGGCAUUAGAUGUGGGCAGAGGGUGGGGCAUGAGAAAGAGUGACAAGGGGAGAGGCUGGUGGGCAAAGCAGAGCAAACCAUGCUGAGGUCUUUGAAAUUAUUCACUGGGUAAGGAGGAGCCAUGGGGAGGUUCAGAUGUGGACAGAUGAGGGGUCAGGUGGGAAAUGUUUAGAUUAUUUCCUCACAUAGCCAGGCUCAAAUACCAAAGCUUAAUAAUG